CUUAUCAAGAGUGGCGGAGGGAACGGCCCGAUGAAACCACGGCAACCUGUCUUUUCAAGGUGCCAAAUCCGGCGGAUACCGACAGAUGAG
rnacentral:ncRNA from 1 species